UGCCAGCAGCCGCGGUAAUACGGAGGGUGCAAGCGUUGUUCGGAUUUACUGGGCGUAAAGGGCGCGUAGGCGGUCUGUUAAGCUAGAGGUGAAAUCCCGGGGCUCAACCCCGGAACUGCUUCUGGAACUGGCAGACUAGAGAUAGGUAGAGGCAGGUGGAAUUCCAGGUGUAGAGGUGAAAUUCGUAGAUAUCGGGAGGAACACCAGUGGCGAAGGCGGCCACCUGGACGGUGACUGACGCUCAGACCCGAAAGCGUGGGGAGCAAACAGGAUUAGAUA
rnacentral:rRNA from 1 species